CCUACGGGAGGCAGCAGUGAGGAAUAUUGGUCAAUGGACGAGAGUCUGAACCAGCCAAGUAGCGUGCAGGAUGACGGCCCUAUGGGUUGUAAACUGCUUUUAUAAGGGAAUAAAGUGAGUCUCGUGAGACUUUUUGCAUGUACCUUAUGAAUAAGGACCGGCCAACUCCGUGC
rnacentral:rRNA from 1 species